CGCAGAGUGGGGUGGUUGCCUAGCAACAACACCUGUAGCACAUUAAGCAGCCAGUCAGCUUUGUCAACUUCUAGCGGGGGCUUUGUAGAGCGGAAGGUGGGGGUGGAAGAAGGAUCAGAGGGCACAGAAGUGGAAAGCUGGACAGUGGCUCUCAAGAUGGAAGAGGGUGCAGAAUUGAGAGUCCCGCCAACAAGGCUUUAUGCCUCUUUUCUUCAAGCAGAAGCAGAUCCGGGAGGACUGGGGGCUCAUUCCACUGACUCAUCUUCGAGGAAGGACCACAGAGAAGAAGCAAAGACUCUGAGAGGGUAAAAUCUUUCUCACUGCCUUCCUUUCACACCUUCCCACGCAUCUCUCUGGACCCCAUCUCACACAUACAUGAGAUACAGCUGAAAAAAAGAAAAGAUUUGGGGAAGGGCAGAGAACUCAAUAAUAUUGUUGCUGCUGUCUUUAUAGAACUCAUGGUCUAGCUAGCCCCUUGAUUUUUCUCACAAUUUCCAAGCUGCCUGAGAGGGCGGGGGGCAGAGAGUGGUGUAUUCGAGGGGAGGGGCCUAUUCUUCUGUAGCCCUGACAACCAGAAGACUUGGAAUCAACCCCACCAUCACUUGUAAGCUAUGUAGCUUUUGGCCGAUAUCUGCACUGAGGCUCAGUUUUCUCAUUUGUAAAGUUGGGGGUCAUUACAGCUGUCCUACUUACCUUAUGGGAAUCAAAGAACACCGCUUUCUGCUCCUCAUUCUCCCAGACCCUCCCCAAAUUAGCAAAUCCCAAAGGCAGUUUAAGUAGAAGCACAUUACAAACACUGUAAGUUCUCCUACAUGUAUAA
rnacentral:lncRNA from 1 species